rnacentral:misc_RNA from 1 species
GAUGAAGAACGCAGCGAAAUGCGAUAAGUAAUGUGAAUUGCAGAAUUCAGUGAAUCAUCGAAUCUUUGAACGCACCUUGCGCCCUUUGGCCAUUCCGAAGGGCAUGCCUGUUUGAGUAUCAUGAACACCUCAACUCUUCAUGGUUUUCCAUGAUGAGCUUGGACUUUGGGGGUCUUGCUGGCCUGUGGUCGGCUCCUCUCAAAUGAAUCAGCUUGCCGGUUUUUGGUGGGCAUCACAGGUGUGAUAACUAUCUACGCUUGUGGUUUUCCACCAGGGUAACCUUCAGCAGUGGAGGUUCACUGGAGCUUACAAAUGUCUCUCCUCUGUGAGGACAGCCCUUUGAAUGUUUGAUCUCAAAUCAGGUAGGACUACCCGCUGAACUUAAGCAUAUCAAUAAGCGGAGGA